AGCUUUGUGCAGUGGCAGUAUUAUAGCCAAUGAGGUUAAUCUGAGGUGUGAUUAUUGCUGAUUGGAAUAAAAAGUGGGUUUCACUAUACAAUGAUUUAAUCAGAACCCUUCU
rnacentral:snRNA from 1 species